CAGGGCCACUGAGAGCCUGGGGAAGGAUUGGUAUGUCCCGCUGCUGCCCCACAAUUUACAGUAUUCAAACUUUAUUUUUUAGAAUACAGUUGUAUGAAGACAUGACUGAGAAGAGGAUGCUGUCUAAGCUGUACUGUAAAGGAAUUACAUUGAGCUUGAUCAUUUGGAGUUGUUUAUUUGUGGCAGAUUCAGACGUUCUAAAACAGGAACCUAUCUCUGUUAUUGCUGAUGUGGGAACCAUAGUAACUCUUCGGUGUAAAAAUGAAUCACUGAGAGAAACAACUCAAGCAACCUGGAUAAAAGAGACUCAGAGUAAACCUGAGAUUAUCCUGAGUUAUAAAAAAACAGGGAACGAAACGUAUCGACCUAAUCACACACAGCAAAGAAUAUCACUUCUCCACAUUCCAGAGAACCUCUUCAGUUUAAGGAUUUCUCAAUUGCAACACUCUGAUGCUGGGAACUAUACCUGCUUAACAACAACAAGUAACAGAGUUUGGAAAAGGCAUUGGGAGCUCGUUACAAAAGGUACAGUGAUUUCUACAAAUGCCGUUUCGUUGAUUCCAUAUUUACAAGUUGUUUAAAACAGG